GUGGGUAGAGCUCAGUGGUAGAGCACAUGCUUAGCAUGAACAAGGUCUGGGUUCAAUUCCCAGUACCUCCA
rnacentral:tRNA from 1 species